GACUAAGCAGAAGAAUGCAGCCCACACCCCUGAAGUCCAUCACCCAUAAAUAGUUCAAUCUACAGCUGCUUCUGAAGCAGACAGCAUUUGGAUGCCAUCAUUUGCCCUGCUAUCCCAGGGCAGGUGCAUCAUCUUUGUGGUCAAGGGGUGGCCCGUGUGUAAUGCUGUUACCUAACAUUGUUUAUUAACUCCUAAAACAUUGUGAGGAAUGGUUAAAGUCUUGUGACCAAAUUCAAUCUUGAAAGCAGUGUAGUGACAUAGCAGCCUUUGCAGGUGUUUUCCCUGGAGUGUGGAGUAACCACACGCCAUUCCCAGCACAUCCAGGAUGUGGCCUGUAGAGGACCGAAGGGCCAGAUGGACAUAACAAGGUUCAACUCUCUGACCCCAUUCAACACCAUAGGACUUGACUUUUUGUUCUAAGAAAUAGAUCAUUAAC